GUGAUGCUACCUGAUCCGAGGUCAAAUUUUCAAAAGUUGGGGGUUUAACGGCAGGGCACCGCCAGGGCCUUCCAGAGCGAGGGUUUAACUACUACGCUCGGGGUCCUGGCGAGCUCGCCACUAGAUUUCAGGGCCUGCUUCGUUAGAAGCAGUGCCCCAACACCAAGCAAUGCUUGAGGGUUGAAAUGACGCUCGAACAGGCAUGCCCUCCGGAAUACCAGAGGGCGCAAUGUGCGUUCAAAGAUUCGAUGAUUCACUGAAUUCUGCAAUUCACAUUACUUAUCGCAUUUCGCUGCGUUCUUCAUCGAUGCCAGAACCAAGAGAUCCGUUGUUGAAAGUUUUGAUUCAUUUGUGUUUUUUCUCAGAGUUUCAGUGUAAAAACAAGAGUUAACUUGGCCGCCGGCGUGCCUUCUCCUCACCGGGGUGAGGGGCCUACUAGAGGCCAGCAUGCGCCGAGGCAACAAAAGGUAUAAGUUCACAAAGGGUUUCUGGGUGCGCCUGGGGCGCGUUCCAGCAAGGAUCCCUCCGCAGGUACCCCCUACGGAAG
rnacentral:rRNA from 1 species